UUUAAGCAGGUGGACAGGUUUUGUCUAAAUUUGUCAUAGAUUACUCUGCGCAUUUGGAUUUUAUUAUAACUAUGAAUAAUACAUUUAGUCACGCUGAACAUAAUGAUUACAAUAUUCCUGCAAAUGGAUCGCCAAAAAGCCCACUUGAUUGGUGUAAAUUUACUGUUGAGUUUUAAAAAAAAAAAUAACGUUUCCAAUAAAACGUUGAAAAACAUUAAAUUUAUUCCUAUAAAAUUUAAAAAAAAUAACCAAAUAAUUAUGUUUAAAAAUAACAAUAACAUGGUUUUCAUAAAAUUAAAUUC